AACAAUAACAAUAACAAGAAAAAGAGAAGGAGAUAAAUAAUAUCAUCCAUCAUUUCUUUUCUUUUCAUUUAUUCCUCUUCUUGUUAUUU
rnacentral:ribozyme from 14 species